rnacentral:lncRNA from 1 species
CCCCGGCCGCUACGGCAGAUGCCGUUCAAAAGCUGUUUUGAUAGACACCCAGAAGGUUGCUCGAACAUGGCACGUACCAUGUACGGGCAGAGUAAUACAUUUUAAAGAAUUUUAAAUCAUGACACUGCUUUACUAUGCGAUACAAUCAAUCCUCGACUUCGUGCUAUGGUACGAAGAACUCUGGCAAGGCUUGGCGCCAAUA